GUUAUGUUUUCAUUUUUGUCUUGAAAUAUUUUCUAAUUUCCUUUUUCAUUUCUUCUUAGAUCCGUUGUUUAAGAGUGAGUUGUUUAAUUUACAUAUGUUUGUAGAUUUUCCCAUUUUCUUUCUAUUAUUGAUAUGUAGUUUCAUUCCAUUAUAUUGGAAAAGAUACUUGGAAUUAUCUCACUCUUAUUAAAUUUGUUAAGACUUGUUUUGUGACCUAGCAUGUGAUCUAUCCUGGAGAAUGUUCUAUGUGCAUUUGAGUAAAAUGAGUAUUCUGCUGCUGUGGGAUGAAGUGUUCUUAAGAUGUGUGUAAGGCUCAUUUCAUCUAUGUGUUGUUUGAUUCUGCUGUUUACUCAUUGAUUUUCUGUCUGGAUUAUCUGUCCAUUAUAGAGACUGGAGUAUUGAAGUCUCCUACUAUUAUUGUAUUUCUGUAUAUUUAUCCCUUCAGAUCUGUCAAUGUUUGCUUCAUAUGUUUAUGUGGUUUGAUGUAUAUAUAUUUAUAAUUGUUACAUCUACCUGUUGAAUGGACCCUUUUAUCAUUAUAUAAUGACCUUUGUUUCUUACGACAGUUUUUGAUUUAAAGUCUAUUUUGUAUGAUAUAAAUCUAGCAACCCCUGCUCACUUUUGGUUACAAGGUGCAUGGAAUAUCUUUCCCCACUCCUUUACUUUCAGCCUAUGUAUGUUCUUAAAUCUAAAGUGAGUCUCUUGUAGACAGCAUAUAGUUGAGUCUUUUUUUUUAAUCCAUUUAGCCACUCUAUGCCUCUUGAUUGGGGAGUUUAGUCCAUUUACAUUUACAGUAAUUAUUGAUAGAUAAGGACUCGUUAGCGUUUUUGUAGUUCUCCUGUUCCUCUCUUUUUCUCUUGUUGUCUUUGUUUGUGUUUUGAUGAUUUUUUUAAUGAUGUGCUUUGAUUCUCUUUUCUUUAUGUUUUGUGUAUCUAAUGUACUUUUCUUUUUCAUGGUUGCCAGGGGCUCACAUUGAAAAUUUUAUAGUUAGAGCAGUCUGUUUUAAGCUGAUAACAACUUAACUUCAAUCACAUAUAGAAACUCUAUACUUUACUUCCCCUCUCCCACACUUUAUUUAAUGAUGUCAGAUUUUCCUUCUUUCUAUAUUGUGUUGAGUUGACAUAUUUCUGUGGUUAUAGUUAUUCUUACUAUGUUUGUCUUUUAACUUAUAUAACCAGUGUUAAAAGUGAUUUACACACCACCAUUACAGUAUUAGAUAUUCUGUUUUUCUUUGUAUUUAUAUUUAGCAGUGAGAUUUUUGCUUUUAUAUGCUCUGAUGUUGCUGUUUAACAUCUUUUCAAUUCAACUUGAAGGACUCUCUUUAGCACUUCUUAUAAAGUACAUCCAAUGGUGACAAACCUCCUCAGUUUUUGUUUGUCUCUUUCCUUCUUAAAGGAAAGUUUUUCUGGGUACAAUACUCUUGGUUGGCAGGCUUUUUUUUUUAGUAUUUUGAACAUAUCAUUCCACUUUCCUGGCCUCCAAACUUUCUGUUGAGAAAUCUGUCUAAAGGGGGAAGGGGGGGGUGUCCCUUUUAUGUGACAAGUUGCUUUUUCUUUUUUCUUGCUGCUCUAAAAUUGUCUUUUUCUUUGACUUUUGACAAUUUAUGAUGUGCCUCAGUGUUGCUCUCUUUGGGUUCAAACUAUUUGGAAACUCUUGGGCUUCAUUAAUCUGAAUUUCCUUUUCCUUCUCUAGAUUUGGGAAGCUUUCAGCCAUAACUUCUUUAAGUAAGCUUUUUGCCCUUUUCUCUAUCUCUUCUCCUUCUAGGAAUCCGAUAAUGCAUAUAUUGAUUCUUUUGAUGGUAUACCGUAAGUCCCAUCAGCUUUAUUCACUCUUCUCCAUUCUUUUUCUUUUUGUUCCUCUUACUAGAUAAUUUCAAAUGACCAGUCUUUGAGUUCACUGAUCUUUAUUCUGCUUGAUUGAGCCUGCUGUUGAAGCUGUCUAUUGAAUUUUUUAAUUCAGUCAUUGUAUUCUUCAGCUCCAGGAUUUCUGUUUGGUUUUCUCUCUCUCUCUUUUUUUUGUGAGGAAGAUCAGCUCUGAGCUAACAUCUGUUGCCAAUUGUCUUCUUUUUGCUUGAUGAAGAUCUUUCCUAAGCUAACAUUUGUGCCAAUCUUCCUCUCUUUUUUUUUUGUGGGAUGCUGCCACACAUGGCUUGAUGAAUGGUGUGUAGGUCUUCACCUGGGAUCUGAAUCUGUGAACCCUGGACUGCUGAAUAAGAGUGUGUGAACUUAACCACUAUGCCACUGGGCCGGCUCUGUUUGGUUCUUUUUUAUGGUUUCUAUUUCUUUAUUGAACUUCUCAUUUUGUUCAUAUAUUGUUUUCCUGAUUUCAUUUAGUUGUCUAUCUGUGUCCUCUUGUAGCUCACUGAACUUCUUUAAGAUGAUUAUUUUGAAUUUGUUAAGCAGUUCAUAGAUCUCUGCUUUUUUUUUUAGGGUCAAUUCCUAGAGCUUUAUUAAUUUCCUUUGAUGGCUUCAUGUUUGCCUGAUUCUUCAUGAUCCUUGUAGCCUUGCAUUGGUGUCUGUGCAUUUAAAGGAGCACUUACCUCUUCCCAUCAUUACAGAUUGGUUUUGGCAGUGGCUUCACUAGUCUUUAGCUCCACUGAGGUGUCAACCUCCUACCUGGAUCCUGAAGCUCCCACAAAGGCACUUUUGUCUAUGGUUGGUUGCCAAAUAUGUGUUUCUGUGGGAAGAUAAGAGAUGGGACUGUCCUAUUCUGCCAUCUUGCUGACCUCCAUUUUUUAAAAAAAUCCUAGUCUCCUUAAUCCCCAGAAACCUCUAAUCUGUUCUCUAUUUCUAUGAUUUUGUCAUCUCAAGAAUGUUAUGUAAGUGAAAUCAUUUGCAGGCAACCUUUUGAGAUUGGCCUUUCACUCAGCUUAAUUCUCUGGAGAUCCAUCUGGAUUGUUGUUUUUAUGAAUAAUUUGUCCCUUUUUAUUGCAGAAUAAUAUUUCAUAGUAUAACUGUACCACAGUUUAUUUAACUGUGCAGCUUUAAAGGUUGUUUCUAGUUUUGGGCUAUUUUAUGAAUAAAGCUGCUGUGAACACUCAUGUACAGGUUUUUGUGUGGACAUACCUCUUCAUUUUUCUGGGAUAGAUGUCCAAUAGUGCAGUUGCUGUGUUGUCUGGUAGUUCCACGUUUUAUUUUUUAAGAAACUGCCAACUUUUUUCCAGAGUGACUAUACCAUUUUACUUUUCCACCAGCAAUGUGUGAGUGACUCAGUUUCUCCGCAUCUUCAUCAGCUUAGAAUACGCUUGACAGAAAAGUGACCAUCUACACGUUCAACUGUGGAAGACCUUGUGAAAAAAGAGGUGCCCCACGGAAGACGCACAUAAAGUCCGACCCCGAGACCUCGGCGCUAAUGCUUACGUCAUGUUGCGGCAGCAUCGGGCAACAACUGAGGGAGUGGAACCAGCAAGGAUGUUUUCAGGGACUGCACAAAAGCCGAUAUGAGACAUGGCCGCUGUGAUUUAUGGGAAUCAGUGUCCCAACUUAGUCAAGUAGAUCUGAUAAAAAAAAAAAAAGAAAAGAAAAGAAGAGUCUCUCUUUGACAGAGUUUUACAGAAGCAUUUGCUCUUGCCGGUAUUCAUGGGGUGCCAAGGCGUGGUAUUACUCACUGGCUCCUGUCUUGUGAGUCAGGGAAAAGAUUUCAAGCAUCUACCAGGUGGCAAACACUGCACCAGUUGCUCUGAAGUUAAAUGAAAUGGAAGAGAAGGACCCUGUUCUUGUUAAGGAGACAAGGCUAAACCUCUGAAAGAAUGUAAAACAUUACAAAUUAAAUAUAUUGUGUUGUAAUCAUAAUUGCUGGCAUUUUUUUUUGUAGCAUGUUGCAGUUUUCAAAGUAGUUUUGCAAGCGUCUUUUCAUUUGAUACUAGCCGUAUAUGGAGUGUUUACUAUGUGCUGGAUAUCAGAAAUAUUAUUUCAUUUAGUCUUUCUAAGAACCCUAUGAGGUAGGUGCUGUUAAUCUUUACAGAUGAGAUCCUUUGGCAGUUCUGAGGGUAGUCCGAACAAGCUUUUAAAAUAGAUUCAGAAACAGGCUCAUGGAGGAUAAAAGGCUUCCACAGGGUUGUUUGACUUUAAUGACCUCCUCUUUUUAAUCCUUCCUCUUGGACCGGUCUACAGUGAUGCCAGCAUGUGAACUUUCUGACAUUAAAUGUCCUUAAUAGUCUAUCUUUCUACCAACGCUUAUUUAUAUUUUUAGUCCAACACUUUGUGUGAAGAGGCAGGAUACUUUGUGACGGGUUUGUUGAAGGAUCUGUGUAGCCUCCUAGUUCAUGCCCUCUGCCAUAGGUCAUCCACAUGCCUCUGCCCAGACCUUUUCCCCGAGCUUCCAAAUUAUCCCCUGCCCGGCCCCUGACUAGCCAGCUAGUCUCUGUCGGUGAGUUAAUGUGUACUUUGGCCCCUGACCGUUUGUCCUUCUGCACAGAGUGGAAGACGUGCAUCGCUUGAAGCUCCGGUGGCAGUGCAGCAGCAGCUUCGCCUCUUCCUUCCUACGUCACCAGGUCCUGAGGUCUUUCUCACGCAGCCGUAGGAGAGGUCCUGGUGCGACAGUACUGGAGGACAUGUGGUCUGUGCCACUUACUCACGCAGCCUGCAUGUUACUUCCUUGAGCCUCAGUAUCAUACAUUGAGAGUAUUGAGUUUGAUCACUAAGCUCCUUUCCAGUAAGAAAAGUACCUGAUUUUAUGAAAUAGGAGGCAUUAACUCAUAUGCUAUCAGAUCUUUGCAUGGCUGGCUUCUUGUCACUCAGGUCACCUAGUCACUCUAACGUAUGACCCCAGCUUUUUUUUUUUUUGGUGAGGUAGAUUUGUCCUGAGCUAACAUCCACUGCUAGUCUUCCUCUUUUUUUUUUUUUUGCUUGAGGAAGAUUGGCCCUGAGCUAACAUCUGUGCCAAUCUGCCUCUAUUUUGUUUGUGGGUUGCUGCCUCAGCAUGGCUGAGGAGUGGUGUAGUCUGUGCCUGGGAUCUGAACGCGUAAACCUGGGCCACCAAAGUGGAGUGGGCCGAACUUAACCACUAUGCCACCAGGCCGGCCCCCCCAGCUUUUAAUUUUAGAUAGUGAUAUGUGCAAGGAAGAAAUUCCUUCCUUCCCUUCCUUCCGUCCUUAUUUGUUUCUUUUCUGUCUCUCCUCACUAAAAUGUGAACUGCAGGAGGUCAGAGCCAAUGUUUUAUUCAUGGUUGUAACCCCAGCAUCUAUAACAGUGCCUGGUGCAUAGUAGGUGCUUUAUAAAUAUUUGUUCAAUGAAUGAAUGAAGUCCAUUAAACUGGAUAAAUCCAAUUGUACUUAGAUUGUUAGUAGCCAGACGCCUCACAUUUUAGAGGAGUUCUAAUAGUUCAUCCCAUCUGCCAUCUCGUGCUACACAUAACUUAGGCUGGGUAAAUGGGUUUCCUCAUUGCCAGCAAGUCCCUGGGCAGGAAGUGCCACAGCACCGUCAGCUGCUUACGCAUUAUGUUUGCCAUGCUGUUCCUUUUGACUCUUGUUAGUGCACUGGCUUCUUACAGCCUGGCUAGCUUCAGGAACUGUAUGAAAUAGCAGUUCAAGCCUUGUGGAGAUGAUUUGAGGAUUUGUUUCAAUUUAUGAGUUCUUUGGACCAGUCUUCUCUCCCUUUCAAAGCAGGUCUGGAACCAUCAUGUGGUAAACCCUGUCGAUGCAUUUUCAUCUCGUACUUGCUGGUUCAUUACACUGUCUGGUUUGCAUGGUGCCCCAGUAGAUUGUCAGCUCAUCUGUAUAGCAGUUUAUUCCAUCUGCAAUGCUUCAUUAUUUUCGAAGAAAAAUGCUAUUCGCCCUUGAGCAUGGCUGCAGAUCUUGCUCUGCUGGGGUGCUGGAGAUGAAGCAGCUCUGCAGAUGAAUGCUUGCUUGAGGCCCAGGAAGUGGAAUUUAGUACCUUUCUGAAAUUGAGUGCUUUGGGUAGGAUGGUUAUCUGGAAUAUCUAGGGCAUCCAGGAUGGAAACAAGAGACGCUCUAAGUCUAACUGUAGAACAAGGGCAAGGGGAGGGUGGGAAGAAUGGCAAGUAUGUACCAGGGACUGUGUUGUGCAGUUAUCUCAUUUAAUCCCCUGGCAAACCAAAGGAGAAAACCGGUGCUCAUUGAUUUAAAUACCCACCAGUGAAUAGGCUGAGCUAGUGACUCAACAGACCUGGCUGACAUCAAAGGCCAUGACUUUUUUCACUAUACUGUGCAGCUCCCAGGACAGUGCCUGGUACAUCAGGGAGUGUUCAUUGAAUGAAUGAGUGAAUGAGUGAACGAACGUUGAACAAGCUUGGUUUUACUUCUUUGUGAUUUCCAUUUUAAUGGCCUCUUUUGCACUCUACUCCAGAACUGUCAGCUACCUAGCUCUCCUCCGUGACUUUGGUGCUCCUUGUGGGUCUGCCCUUCUCUUAACUUGAUGAUCCAUUUUUCACCUUGCAUACUCAGCUCCCCUCCCAUUUAGAUCUCUGGUUUUGCUCCUACUCUUUUCGGAACCUUAGCUAAGAAGUUGGUAAAAUAAGGUGUGCCUCAAUGUUUAUGGUGAUCAUUAUGCACUUACCACGGUCGGGAAGAAUUGCUUUAUGCAAAAGUUUAUCUCUGAGAACAGUUAUUUCGAGGACAGUUGUAGUUAGGUAGAGGGUAGACUUUGGGUGGGAGGGAAUUUGAAUGUCUUUCAAAUCAUCCAAGGCUGUCUGCUGCUUAUUCUACUUAUGCUGAGUGCAGUGAAAUUGAGAGGGAAUCCUAGGUACAAGGAGGCUGUGUUUGGGAGAUAGAACAGGGGAUUUAAGGAUAUCCCAGCUCUGAGGAAGGAACCAUCAGCUGGCAGACCAAGACGUUUAAGCUUCCAGUGCUGAAGAAUGAAAACAAAAUGUCUUCUCCAGAUUCCGUCCCUUAAAGAAUUUAAUGAAUAGAAUGGGGAUUUGUUUUCCUAGCUCUUUAAGAAAAUGUGGCUCUGUGUAUAACAAUCUACCAUAUUGUAAGAACCUAUCCGUCAUAAAUAGGGAGGUUUAGGAACAGAGCUUUGAAGCCUUAAAAGCUCCAAAACUACUGCAUCAAUGGUGCUCACUUCACACCACCUCCCAGCCCUCCAGGGGUGCCUCCUUCCUGAAGACCGACCCCAGGAUCUGAGAAGUGUAGAACCUUAGAGGCUGGCCACUCCUGUUUCCUCCCAGUGCGAGAAUCUCCCCAGGGCCGACCUGUGGCCGGCCGGUGGUGUGGCAGGGUGGUUGGGUUCGUGCACUCUGCUUCCGCGGCCCAGGGUUUUGCUGGUUCGAAUCCUGGGCCUGGACAUGGUGCUGCUCGUGGGCCAUAUUGGGGCGGCGUCCCACGUGCCACAACUAGAAGGACUCACAACUAAAAAUACACAACUAUGUAUGGGGGUUGGAGGGCCUUUGGGGAGAAAAAGGAAAAAAAAAAAGAAUCUCUCCAAUAGUUUCUGUGACAUCAUCUUGAAAAUCGUCACCACCUAAAUCAGCCCAUUCAAUUGCUUCCAGGCUAGUAGGGUUAGGAAAUCCUCUUCUUAACUUGUGACUCCCACCUCUUAGUCUGUGUUUUGCCCUUGGGAGGAGAACAGAGUCAGUCCUCUGCCUCUGCCAGGCAUAGCUCUAGCAAUCUCUUGCUUCCAUUACAAGCCUGCAGAGGGUUAAUUAUGCAUGCAGCUCUGCUCUGCAGAGGAAAAGCACAAAAGGCAGUGUUGAAUUAAAGUCACAGAAGCAGUACUUUCUAGCUAAUGGUACUGCCCCUCAUCCCCAAACAGGUAAGUGGGGGUAAAACGUACAAACAUGAAUCACAAUUUUUCUGUUGACUUUGUGACAGACUUUCUGCCUCUGGGCCGCUGCACCCUCAUUUGGAGUUUCUGGCUUUACCUUCAAUGACUCUAAGUGCCGUCAAAAUAACCCCUGCUCUGUGUGUGUGUGUGUGUGUAUGGUGAGGACUAGGGUGGGGUAAGGUGUUAGGAGGGAAGAAGGCUGGAGAUCUAGAUUAUUCUAUAAUUGACAAAGAAGGAAGACCCUUCUGAAAUUUUUGCAGAGUCCUCAAAGAUGCUGCACAGACCGUAGCCAUAGUCACUAAAUUUGAUUCAUCAUUGAAGACAGAGUCCAACUUUUAAAUGUUCUCCCUCUGGACACAGCAUCAUUCAUGUGUUUAGUUGGUAUUUACUGAAUGCCCACUGAAUGGAUAAUCCUAUUGCUUGUUCUGCAUGGAAUACAUUAUCUAAGCCACCUGCGAAUUUGAGAUUGACUAGGAGAGAAAAGUCAGUGAUAUCAGUAAAAUCGUAGUAAUUGUAGCUACCAUUUAUUGAGUGCCUACUCACUAGACAGAUAGUAUAUAAUUCAUGUAACCCCUGUUCCCACCACCUUUCACUGUAAUAUCCUUACAAAGUGGAUAUUAUCAGAGGGUCUGCAACCAGCACGUGUCUGAGCUGGAACUGGAGUCCAGGCUUUUCUGACAGCAUAGCCUUGGUUCUUUCUGUGAAACUACACUGUCUCCCCACAGGGACAGGGACAGAAACCAGUUACAAGGCAGCAACAGCAGCUUUGUACUGAAAGCACUGUGAGUUCAAUCCAGUCCACACAACCUCACUGAGCAUGUAGACAUCUCAUUGGGUAAGUUUAGUCUAGGCAGACGUCCUGGAGGAGGUGUCUCCUUGGCUAAAUCAUAUAAGGAAUGCAGAAUUCGAAUUCAUGGGGAAAUCACUUGGGCUUGCCUUGGAUUUGGUUUGCUUAGGGAUCAAACACAACUGACAAAUGGAAAAGCUCCCCUCCUUCCACUUCCCUCCCUUUUUCCUUCAGUAAGGAGAGAAAGUCUAACUUAAAGCAAGUGGGGAGGGGUCUCUUUUUGUCUGUGCUGAGGUAGAAAAACCCAUCUCCCUAUUCAUCUUCUUCCUCCCUCUCCCCUUAGACUGGAGUUCCCAUCCUGCACUUUGUGGUUUUCACUUAACGAAUGUUAAUGAGAUGGCAUUGUAAUCACCGGAUUUUAUAAAUAUCUCAUCCACAAAUUGGACCACAAAACCCAAAUGAGCCAGCUGAGCAUCUAUAUUCCAUGAGCCUGUGUUUUCCCCACAGUCUUAACCAAAGGAUGUAAAACGUGUUCUUGCUUUGAAGCUGUUCAGGCCCAUGGGUGUUAGAUGCUGAGGACAACUGCUGUUUGCCUGGCCCUAACUCAAGUGGCUUGUUGGGUAUGAGCCUUUCACACAGUCCUGGGUGAUGUAAGGGAUUUAGGCUUGAUCAAUUAUACCCUUUUCAAGUUAACGCUAGAAAAAUGAGAAAUUGAUUUUUUUGACGAAACAAUAUUUUAGAAAUUCAGGAUAUAAAAAUGGGAUUUGACCUCUCUUAUCAAGUCAGCUCUCAUCAUGAUGAUUACAGUCUCCAAUUAUGCCAUAUUUUGUAUGUCAUGGCCGAAUGCGAUCAGCUUGUCAGAUUUGUUCGGGGAGAGGGUAGAGCAAUGAUAAUGCAUCCAGCUGUGACUGCUUUGUGGUGUGAAGGGGAGAACCUGGAGGAUCCAUCUUGUUUGGCAAAUCUGCUGGAGUGAGCAUCCUCAGACACGGGCAUCAGAUUCUAACAAUCCUGCUUAAUCUCUUUGCAGAGAUCUAAUGAGCAAAAGCUAUAUUGAGUAAUUUUUCUGGUGCUUCGUUAUUUUUACCUGGUAUUUCUUACUUUUACCCAAUAUGCUCCUAUUAUUAUACUCAAAUUGUAACCGAAUAAGAAGCGAAGAGCUUACGUACAUUGCAGACAGUCUGUUGACUUACUGGUAGGUUAAACAGCAUUUUGAAGGUAGGACCAAGCUUGACUCACUUUUUAUCCUCAGCACCUAGCACACUGCUCGGCCCAUAGAAAGGACUUAAUUCAGGUUCAUUGAAUACUUUAAAGAGUAAUCCAGCCUUGGAACUGUCUGGAGAAUAGUCCUCAGGCUUCUCCACUGCAGUAAUAUGAAAGAAACCCCAAUUCUUUAAAAUUCGCCAGAAAAAAAUGUUGCUUGCUUUGGGUAAGUGACUGUUUGCAAGGUGGUUAGUUAAUACAAACAUUCGAGUGAUUGGAUAACUGAAAUAAAAAGUAAGUAUAACGGAAGGAGAACAUGACAGAUUUUGUUAAAGAUAAC
ensembl:lncRNA